UACGAAGGGGGCUAGCGUUGCUCGGAAUCACUGGGCGUAAAGGGUGCGUAGGCGGGUCUUUAAGUCAGGGGUGAAAUCCUGGAGCUCAACUCCAGAACUGCCUUUGAUACUGAAGGUCUUGAGUUCGGGAGAGGUGAGUGGAACUGCGAGUGUAGAGGUGAAAUUCGUAGAUAUUCGCAAGAACACCAGUGGCGAAGGCGGCUCACUGGCCCGAUACUGACGCUGGAUGCACGAAAGCGUGGGGAGCAAACAGG
rnacentral:rRNA from 1 species